GUGGGGAAUAUUGGACAAUGGGCGAAAGCCUGAUCCAGCCAUGCCGCGUGUGUGAAGAAGGUCUUCGGAUUGUAAAGCACUUUAAGUUGGGAGGAAGGGCAGUAAGUUAAUACCUUGCUGUUUUGACGUUACCGACAGAAUAAGCACCGGCUAACUUCGUGCCAGCAGCCGCGGUAAUACGAAGGGUGCAAGCGUUAAUCGGAAUUACUGGGCGUAAAGCGCGCGUAGGUGGUUCAGCAAGUUGGAGGUGAAAUCCCCGGGCUCAACCUGGGAACUGCCUCCAAAACUACUGGGCUAGAGUACGGUAGAGGGUAGUGGAAUUUCCUGUGUAGCGGUGAAAUGCGUAGAUAUAGGAAGGAACACCAGUGGCGAAGGCGACUACCUGGACUGAUACUGACACUGAGGUGCGAAAGCGUGGGGAGCAAACAGGAUUAGAAACCCGGGGUAGUCC
rnacentral:rRNA from 1 species